rnacentral:rRNA from 1 species
CACGUAGGGCGCAAGCGUUGUCCGGAAUCAUUGGGCGUAAAGAGCUCGUAGGCGGUCCGUUACGUCUGCUGUGAAAACCCAGGGCUCAACCCUGGGCUUGCAGUGGAUACGGGUGGACUAGAGGUAGGUAGGGGAGAAUGGAAUUCCCGGUGUAGCGGUGAAAUGCGCAGAUAUCGGGAGGAACACCGGUGGCGAAGGCGGUUCUCUGGGCCUUACCUGACGCUGAGGAGCGAAAGCGUGGGGAG